GAUGAACGCUGGCGGCGUGCCUAAUACAUGCAAGUCGAGCGAACGGACGCGAAGCUUGCUUCUCUGAUGUUAGCGGCGGACGGGUGUGUAACACGUGGAUCACCUCCCUAUAAGACUGGGAUAACUUCGGGAAACCGUAGCUUAUACCGGAUAAUAUUUUGAACCGCAUGGUUCAAUAGUGAAAGACGGUCUUGCUGUCACUUAUAGCUGGUUCCGCGCUGCAUUAGCUAGUUGGUAAGGUCACGGCUUACCAAGGCAACGAUGCAUAGCCGACCUGUGAGGGUGAUCGGCCACACUAGAACGGAGACACGGUCCAGACGCCUACGGGAGGCAGCAGUAGGGAAUCUGCCGCAAUGGGCGAAAGCCUGACGGAGCAACGCCGCGUGAGUGAUGAAGGUCUUCGGAUCGGAAAACUCUGUUAUUAGGGAAGAACAGAUUUGGAAGGAACUGUGCACAGCUUGACGGUACCGAAUCAGAAAGCCACGGCUAACUACGUG
rnacentral:rRNA from 1 species